UUGACUCACUCCUUGGUCUGCACCAAUCCUCACAUCCCUCAGGUCCUCUAACUUUCUGUAUCCAGAAAUCGACUCUUUGGUCUCUACGGCUCCAGAAGGCUCGCUCUUCAAGAAACGUUACACUACCUUCGGUUAGAAGUGGAUACAUAUAUGAUUUUGGCCUAAAGAAAUCUUUGCAAAAAGGGAGAAUGCAAACUUGUUCUUUUCCUUUUGGAUUUACGGAGUGCCAGUAUCAGGUGUGGUUCCAGGUUCCAGAUAGGGCUGUGGUGAGGUCUCGAGCCGACAAGCACAAGUCCAAUUGCCUCUUCUUUUGAACCAGAGUCUAUUGAGGAGUCUCUGAAAUGACAGCUGAUGGGUGUAGAGACCCACGCCCGGAAUCUCAGCAACUGAAGUGGUUGAAGCAGGAGCAUCUAGGCAGAGCUCGUAAGCAUCUCCAGCUUCUGACUUUGUUGCUGGUGUUAUGUGUUUUGUUUUGCUUUCUCAGAGGCUUUCUGGUGCAUCCAGACUGUGCCAGCUCCUUAUAGCCCUCCUUCAGCUCUCCAGCUUUUUGCCUAUGCAGUCUCUGCUCCUAGCCUUUCAUAACUAAUAAACUUUAAAAUUUAUAAACUCCAACAAAUGAAA
rnacentral:lncRNA from 1 species